rnacentral:rRNA from 1 species
AGCGUACACGGUGGAUGCCCUGGCAGUCAGAGGCGAUGAAGGACGUGCUAAUCUGCGAAAAGCGUCGGUAAGGUGAUAUGAACCGUUAUAACCGGCGAUGUCCGAAUGGGGAAACCCAGUGUGAUUCGUCACACUAUCGUUAACUGAAUACAUAGGUUAACGAGGCGAACCGGGGGAACUGAAACAUCUAAGUACCCCGAGGAAAAGAAAUCAACCGAGAUUCCCCCAGUAGCGGCGAGCGAACGGGGAGCAGCCCAGAGUCUGAAUCAGCUUGUGUGUUAGUGGAACGGUCUGGAAAGUCCGACGGUACAGGGUGAUAGUCCCGUACACCAAAAUGCACAGGCUGUGAACUCGAAGAGUAGGGCGGGACACGUGGUAUCCUGUCUGAAUAUGGGGGGACCAUCCUCCAAGGCUAAAUACUCCUGACUGACCGAUAGUGAACCAGUACCGUGAGGGAAAGGCGAAAAGAACCCCGGCGAGGGGAGUGAAAAAGAACCUGAAACCGUGUACGUACAAGCAGUGGGAGCACCUUCGGGUGUGACUGCGUACCUUUUGUAUAAUGGGUCAGCGACUUAUAUUCUGUAGCAAGGUUAACCGUAUAGGGGAGCCGCAGGGAAACCGAGUCUUAACUGGGCGUUAAGUUGCAGGGUAUAGACCCGAAACCCGGUGAUCUAGCCAUGGGCAGGUUGAAGGUUGGGUAACACUAACUGGAGGACCGAACCGACUAAUGUUGAAAAAUUAGCGGAUGACUUGUGGCUGGGGGUGAAAGGCCAAUCAAACCGGGAGAUAGCUGGUUCUCCCCGAAAGCUAUUUAGGUAGCGCCUCGUGAACUCAUCUUCGGGGGUAGAGCACUGUUUCGGCUAGGGGGUCAUCCCGACUUACCAACCCGAUGCAAACUACGAAUACCGAAGAAUGUUAUCACGGGAGACACACGGCGGGUGCUAACGUCCGUCGUGAAGAGGGAAACAACCCAGACCGCCAGCUAAGGUCCCAAAGUCAUGGUUAAGUGGGAAACGAUGUGGGAAGGCACAGACAGCCAGGAUGUUGGCUUAGAAGCAGCCAUCAUUUAAAGAAAGCGUAAUAGCUCACUGGUCGAGUCGGCCUGCGCGGAAGAUGUAACGGGGCUAAACCAUGCACCGAAGCUGCGGCAGCGACACUAUGUGUUGUUGGGUAGGGGAGCGUUCUGUAAGCCUGCGAAGGUGUGCUGUGAGGCAUGCUGGAGGUAUCAGAAGUGCGAAUGCUGACAUAAGUAACGAUAAAGCGGGUGAAAAGCCCGCUCGCCGGAAGACCAAGGGUUCCUGUCCAACGUUAAUCGGGGCAGGGUGAGUCGACCCCUAAGGCGAGGCCGAAAGGCGUAGUCGAUGGGAAACAGGUUAAUAUUCCUGUACUUGGUGUUACUGCGAAGGGGGGACGGAGAAGGCUAUGUUAGCCGGGCGACGGUUGUCCCGGUUUAAGCAUGUAGGCUGGUUGUCCAGGCAAAUCCGGAUAAUCAAGGCUGAGGUGUGAUGACGAGGCACUACGGUGCUGAAGUAACAAAUGCCCUGCUUCCAGGAAAAGCCUCUAAGCAUCAGGUAACAUUAAAUCGUACCCCAAACCGACACAGGUGGUCAGGUAGAGAAUACCAAGGCGCUUGAGAGAACUCGGGUGAAGGAACUAGGCAAAAUGGUGCCGUAACUUCGGGAGAAGGCACGCUGGUGUGUAGGUGAAGCCCCUGCGGGUGGAGCUGAGACCAGUCGAAGAUACCAGCUGGCUGCAACUGUUUAUUAAAAACACAGCACUGUGCAAACACGAAAGUGGACGUAUACGGUGUGACGCCUGCCCGGUGCCGGAAGGUUAAUUGAUGGGGUUAUCCGUAAGGAGAAGCUCUUGAUCGAAGCCCCGGUAAACGGCGGCCGUAACUAUAACGGUCCUAAGGUAGCGAAAUUCCUUGUCGGGUAAGUUCCGACCUGCACGAAUGGCGUAAUGAUGGCCAGGCUGUCUCCACCCGAGACUCAGUGAAAUUGAACUCGCUGUGAAGAUGCAGUGUACCCGCGGCAAGACGGAAAGACCCCGUGAACCUUUACUAUAGCUUGACACUGAACAUUGAGCCUUGAUGUGUAGGAUAGGUGGGAGGCUUUGAAGCGUGGACGCCAGUCUGCGUGGAGCCAACCUUGAAAUACCACCCUUUAAUGUUUGAUGUUCUAACGUUGGCCCCUUACCGGGGUUGCGGACAGUGUCUGGUGGGUAGUUUGACUGGGGCGGUCUCCUCCCAAAGCGUAACGGAGGAGCACGAAGGUUAGCUAAUCCUGGUCGGACAUCAGGAGGUUAGUGCAAUGGCAUAAGCUAGCUUGACUGCGAGCGUGACGGCGCGAGCAGGUGCGAAAGCAGGUCAUAGUGAUCCGGUGGUUCUGAAUGGAAGGGCCAUCGCUCAACGGAUAAAAGGUACUCCGGGGAUAACAGGCUGAUA